UGGGGAAUCUUGGACAAUGGGCGAAAGCCUGAUCCAGCCAUGCCGCGUGAGUGAUGAAGGCCCUAGGGUCGUAAAGCUCUUUCGCCAGGGAUGAUAAUGACAGUACCUGGUGAAGAAACCCCGGCUAACUCCGUGCCAGCAGCCGCGGUAAUACGGAGGGGGCUAGCGUUGUUCGGAAUUACUGGGCGUAAAGCGCGCGUAGGCGGGUGACCAAGUUGGGGGUGAAAGCCCGGGGCUCAACCUCGGAACGGCCUUCAAAACUGGUUAUCUAGAAUCCGGGAGAGGUAAGCGGAAUUCCUAGUGUAGAGGUGAAAUUCGUAGAUAUUAGGAAGAACACCAGUGGCGAAGGCGGCUUACUGGACCGGCAUUGACGCUGAGGUGCGAAAGCGUGGGGAGCGAACAGGAUUAGAUACCCCCGUAGUCC
rnacentral:rRNA from 1 species